CAGAGUCACAAUGGAGGGCCACAUUGGUGCCAUUAACAGGAUAAGCAUUGCCAUAAGAUAUGUUCACUUUGAGAGUUGGAGUGGUCAUUAUGAAAGAAUAAUGUUAUGUCUGUGUCCCGUGGAAUCCUUACCAAGCAAUGAGAACAGCAGCAGUAUUGGGGCAGACAGGUGCCAGUAGGAUCCCAUCAUUGCAGUAUCAAUGCAAGGGAUGUCAGAGGUCCCAGUGCCCACAUUCGUGCCAACAGGUUUCUUCACAGUGGUCUUCUCUUGACUGAACACCUCAUCUUCUUCAGAUGAACUUGUCUCACAGAAGGCAAAGCCGGACUUCGGGCGAGCACUACUGUUCUAUGCUAGAAAAGCUCUCCUCUCAAAGUGGAUAAACCCACACCCUCUACAUUUCUGGCUGGACCUAAUCAAUAAACACCUACCACUAAUACAGCUGACUUACCUGGUUAUGGGAUGCCUGAUGAAUAUGACAACAUUUGGGAGUACUGGAGACAGAGGCCAACUCCUAAAUGAACUGCCCGAUUGAAACUCCAGAGACAGGAACUAUAAACUGUAAGAUUCAAUUUUGGGAAAUUGGUAAAAAAUGAAAAGCAACCAGUGAGCAAUCUGAAAACAGCUGAACUGGAAAUGGUUUGGAAGGUGAGCAACUCAUUUAGACAUUUACUGAUUUGAUCUUACACCACCUAAGUGAGCACCCACCAUUUUUGAAGUGUAUGCAUUAAAAAUAAAUAAUUCACCUGUUUUUGAAGAA